rnacentral:rRNA from 1 species
UACGAAGGGGGCUAGCGUUGCUCGGAAUCACUGGGCGUAAAGCGCACGUAGGCGGACUCUUAAGUCGGUGGUGAAAUCCUGGAGCUCAACUCCAGAACUGCCUUCGAUACUGGGAGUCUCGAGUCCGAGAGAGGUGAGUGGAACUGCGAGUGUAGAGGUGAAAUUCGUAGAUAUUCGCAAGAACACCAGUGGCGAAGGCGGCUCACUGGCUCGGUACUGACGCUGAGGUGCGAAAGCGUGGGGAGCAAACAGGG